GAGGAAUAUUGGUCAAUGGGCGUGAGCCUGAACCAGCCAAGUAGCGUGCAGGAUGACGGCCCUAUGGGUUGUAAACUGCUUUUAUACGGGGAUAAAAGGGUGAACGUGUUCUCCUUUGCAGGUACCGUAUGAAUAAGGACCGGCUAAUUCCGUGCCAGCAGCCGCGGUAAUACGGAAGGUCCUGGCGUUAUCCGGAUUUAUUGGGUUUAAAGGGAGCGCAGGCUGCACUUUAAGCGUGUUGUGAAAUGUACCGGCUCAACCGGUAACGUGCAGCGCGAACUGGGGUGCUUGAGUACGAAGAGGGAAGGCGGAACUCGUGGUGUAGCGGUGAAAUGCUUAGAUAUCACGAGGAACUCCGAUCGCGAAGGCAGCUUUCCGUUUCGGAACUGACGCUGAGGCUCGAAGGUGCGGGUAUCGAACAGGAUUAGAUACCCUGGUAGUCCGCACGGUAAACGAUGGAUGCUCGCUGUUGGAUAUUUUUAUUCAGUGGCUAAGUGAAAACGUUAAGCAUCCCACCUGGGGAGUACGCCGGCAACGGUG
rnacentral:rRNA from 1 species